AACUUUCAACAACGGAUCUCUUGGUUCCGGCAUCGAUGAAGAACGCAGCGAAAUGCGAUAAGUAGUGUGAAUUGCAGAAUUCCGUGAAUCAUCGAAUCUUUGAACGCACAUUGCGCCCUCUGGUAUUCCGGGGGGCAUGCCUGUCCGAGCGUCAUUGCAACCCUCAAGCGCG
rnacentral:rRNA from 1 species